rnacentral:lncRNA from 1 species
UUAAUUGGCUUUCUCUUUUAAUCAAAAACAUACUUUGUUACAGAGUUCUCAGGAAAGGUUCAACUAUUUUUCAGCCACAGACUUCAACCAGGCAAAAGUAUACAGAAAGCCGCAAAGGAACUACCGGGGCUUUAGCUGACCAGUUUUCCCAAAAGCAGAAGCUAAGUGUGGCUCUUCUCUGGGUUUUGGCAUAGCUGCAUUACUCUGAUUUCAGGGGAAGAGACCAGAGUUGGUAAAAUACCACCACCAAAUCGAUCCCCAACCCCCAGCCACUUCCUCCAAAUGGUUCUGCAGUCCACCCGAUUUCCAUGAUCUACAGGCAUUCAUGCUAUCCCCUUAAGUCACAUGUCCAAGGCACUGACCAGAACCCCAUACCUGGAGGAAGUUUCUUGACUCCGUUUAGCCUUCUAACCAAUCCAAGCCCGUGAGUCCUUCUAUCAAUGACAAGCAGCCAUGGCAACAGCAGUUGGUUUCACUCCCUCCUCUCCAGCUAUCACAGAGCUGGCCUCUACCAGGACUCCCCAACCCCCGACCCCUUGACCCACUCCCAAGGCAGGCUCUCAAGGUCCUUGAAAAAGCCAACUUCAUUAAUUAUACUUCUCCAAGAAUAGGCUGGAAAAGUACUGUGAAAGGAACGCUCCAUCCAAAAGUCUAAUCAAUAUGGACCUAAAAAGAGCCAAGAAUAAAGUGAAUGAUCAUCCACUGGUGGUUUUUUUUUUUUUUUUAAUUCUAUUAUAUGAACCAUUGUACAGUUACAAUGCGGUUCAGAGGAGUUUCCCUGUUUUGAACAUAAAAGAGAUAAGAAACCAAAGACCAGAAGUAAUGACCUCUAAUAUCAUUAGGCAUUUACAGUUAACUUUUCCAUUCAUUUUAGCUGGAAAACCAAUUACCAGCACACAGCACUGAAGAGGAUGGCGGGGCACACAUACCAGCCCAAAGCUGGAAUGCCAGGACUCAGAGAGUCUCACGAAACCUUCGCUAGAGAUGAUGGGAAAAUAGAAUGAAGGUGUUUCCCCUGCUCUCAAUUUUUUUUUUUUUUUAAGUAUUUAUUGCAGCCCCCAAGGUGAUGCUAGGCCUUUGGUUAAAUUUAAGUCUUAAGGACAUAUUAUGUAACUUCUUGUCCAUAGGAGAAUAGUAAUAAAAAAUCAAGCCUAAUCUCAUUUGAAUGACAUGGAAAUAAGUACAAAGCCCCCUCAAACAGCAGAGCAAAAGGAAGGAGGAAGUCAGAGCCUGCUGCAAGGUAGGCAAGGUCACUUGGAUUUCAGACCGGAAGAACACAUCUAGUCCAACUCCCUCAUUUUACAGAUGAGGCAACUGAGGCCUGGGAAGGUAGAUGACCUGCCCGAGGUCACACAUCAGAUGAGUGGCAGAGGGCAAGCCAGGCAGGGCGUGCCUGGUGCCCGCCCAGAGCCACCAGUUUCAGGAUGAACAACAACAUGGGCUCUGAGAUCUACUGAGAAAACGAUCCACGUCCAGAGAGAGAAAUGAUUGUCUUCACCUCAAUCCUUCCUAUGGGGGAGAAAGAGAGAGAGACAGGAAGGAGGAGAGAGCGGUGGGGAGGGAGGGAGGAAAACAGUUCAUUCAUUCAAGUCUGAUGUUAAAAUCCCUGAAAACAUCAGCAAUGACUUUAGCGACUCCUUGGGGCAGGAUCUCAGACCCUCAAUUCUCAUAAAGGCACCUAUAGGUCAAAAAUAUCUGUAGAGGAGGAAAGUCAGAAGAUAGGGCGCAGAAGGGGACACCCAAACAAACAAAAAUGACCCUCUCGUUCCCCAAGCAUAUUGUGUUGUUGUCGUUUUUGUUGUUGCUGGUAUUCUCUAGGCAAUGGAACUGCCUCUGAUGACUGAUGCUGAUUUAGUGAGUCCUGUGACCCCAGUUUUUGUAUGAACAGCAUUGAGGUGGAAGCAACAAAACGUUUCAAAAUCUUUCAAAGGGGGAAAAUAUGAAUAUGACCCACUUCUCCCUACCUUGACUACCUGGAACUCAGCCAAGAACCAGCAAACACUUUAAGCAGUCAAACCGAUGUCAGACACCAAAGCACUGAAGGCCUCUUCAAUGCUUGACAGGGAAGUUUCUUGGGACCCAUCCCAGUCUGUCCUCAUGUUUCAAAGGUAGUUCUAGUAAGUCUGGUUAUCUGGUUUUCUUGCCCAAGAAGUCGGAAAAAUGAAUCACAAAGGAAAAGAAGAAACUCCUAAGGGGAGGCACACACAAAGUGGUCUGUCAGAAGGGGACAAUACUGGAGGGUAUGUGUGUUAAAAAAAAAAAAAAAAAAAAAGUAAACAUUCAGAACCAUAGCAGUCUACAACCAUCUGGUUUAUCAAGGCAAAAACCUUAGCAGCUCCGGGCAUCUACAAAGACAGCUAGGCACAAAAGGAACAUCAUGCCUAGAAUGUUCUCUGAUAUACAUAUUAAAUAACUCCACCCCCCAAAAAAAUGGCUAAAAUAAAAAAGGGUUUAAGGCUUAAAUAAGGCAAGUCUGGAUAAUGCAGAAAAUUCCAUCCCACAGUGACAGCAGAUAAACAAGACAGACAACCCGGCAGCACUGGGACAAGUGCUGGGGACGAGGCCGAGCCGAGGAUGCUUCUAUGAAUGUGGCCACUAACCCUAUACAUUAGGGUAUAAGGUAUCACUAAUCCUGAUACAUCUCAGGAGAGAGAACCUCGUUGUCAGAAAACAAUAGAGAGGCUUGCGCAGAAGAUUCUCAGAGCCUGUCUUCUAUGACCUUUGCAAAGAAGAGUUUAGGCAACUAUUUACAGACCGCUAUCUGCGACUGUGACAAGAGGAGGUCUGCCUUUAGAAAGAAAAAAAAAAAAAAAAAAAA